CCAGCUGCCGGUCCUGGAACACCCAGAACUGGGGCCCUGCAGGGCGGAGGCCGGGAGGUCAGGGGUGGGCUCCCCGCGCCGGCCCCAGCGCGCCCCGCCGCCGGCCCCACUCACCGCUAAAGAGGAGGAUUCGGCCGUCUCGGUGCCGAGCAUAGGCGGCCUGCACCACCCUCACCUGGGCGGGCAGCCCCUCCCAGAAGCGGUGCAGCCGUGCGGGCCGCGGGGACACCAGCUGUCCGGAGGGCUGGAGGCGCCAGAACCAGGGGCCUGCAGGGGACAAAGGGGUUCGCAGGAAGGCAUGAGACAGCAGGAGGUCUCCUCCCCCAGGGUGUGUGGCUGGGUGGGGAGGGGUCCCAUCUGGAAAUCAAGGGCGCAAUGGAUCUAGGGUGACCAGCCCAUCCUGGCCCGCCUGAGACUUUUCCCUUUUUAGCACUAAAAGUGCCAGGGCCUUGCCUGGUGGCUCAGACCUGUAAUGCCAGCACAUUGGGAGGCUGACACCGGAGAAUCACCUGAGCCAGGAGAUUGAGCCCAGCCUGGGCAAUAUAGUGAGACUCCAUCUCUACGAAAUAAUAAAAUGAAUUACUAGCAAGGCGUGGUGGCAUGUGCCUGUGGUCCCAGCUACCAGGGAGGCUGAGGUGGGAGGAUCGCUUGAGCCCAGUAUUUUGAGGCUGCAGUGAGCCAUGAUCACACCACUGCACUGCGGCCCAGGCAACAGAGCAAGACCCUGUCUCAAAGAAGAAAAAAGUUCCACUUCCAGGGUAAGCCCACAGCCCCAGUGGGUCACUGGAAGUGGGCAGGAAACCAACAUAUAUGAGGCCAAGUGAAAUGACUCACCUUUGAAGAAGAAAGUUUCCCCUCGGAUGUUGGCGAUGGCGUCAAAAUUGCCCUCACAUCGAUCAGGGAUGGGGAAGGAUGGGCUGGGAGGAAAGGAGAGAGUUGCUGCAGGCCAUCGCGGUCAUCCUGAGACAGGCGGUACUUGUCAGGGUCGCCCACCGGACCC
rnacentral:antisense_RNA from 1 species